AUUGAACGCUGGCGGCAGGCCUAACACAUGCAAGUCGAGCGAGCGGCGGACGGGUGAGGAAUGUCUGGGAAACUGCCCGAUGGAGGGGGAUAACUACUGGAAACGGUAGCUAAUACCGCAUACCAUCAGAUGUGCCCAGAUGGGAUUAGCUAGUAGGUGGGGUAAAGGCUCACCGAGGCGACGAUCUCUAGCUGGUCUGAGAGGAUGACCAGCCACACUGGGACUGAGACACGGACCAGACUCCUACGAGAGGCAGCAGUGGGGAAUAUGGCACAAUGGGCGCGAGCCUGAUGCAGCCAUGCCGCGUGUAUGAAGAAGGCCUUCGGGUUGUAAAGCACUUUCAGCGGGGAGGCGUUACCCGCAGAAGAAGCACCGGCUAACUCCGUGCCAGCAGCCGCGGUAAUAC
rnacentral:rRNA from 1 species